UGAGGCGUAGCUCAGUUGGUUAGAGCGCUUGCUUGACAUGCAAGAGGUCGCUGGUUCGAGUCCAGUCGCUUCAACCA
rnacentral:tRNA from 1 species